rnacentral:rRNA from 1 species
GUUAGGAAUAUUGGACAAUGGGCGCAAGCCUGAUCCAGCCAUGCCGCGUGAGUGAUGAAGGCCUUCGGGUUGUAAAGCUCUUUAGUCCACGAAUAUAAUGACUGUAGUGGAAGAAUAAGCCCCGGCUAACUUCGUGCCAGCAGCCGCGGUAAUACGAAGGGGGCGAGCGUUAUUCGGAAUCACUGGGCGUAAAGCGUGCGUAGGCUGUUUUUUAAGUCAGAAGUGAAAGCCCAGGGCUUAACCCUGGAAUUGCUUUUGAAACUACAAGAGUCGAAUUCGGGAGAGGAUAGCGGAAUUGUCAGUGUAGCAGUGAAAUGCGUAGAUAUUGACAGGAACACCAGUGGCGCAAGCGGCUAUCUGGACCGAUAUUGACGCUGAGGCACGAAAGCGUGGGGAGCAAACAGGAUUAGAUACCCUGGUAGUCC